rnacentral:rRNA from 1 species
CCUACGGGUGGCAGCAGUGGGGGAUAUUGCACAAUGGGGGAAACCCUGAUGCAGCGACGCCGCGUGAGUGAAGAAGUCUUUCGGUAUGUAAAGCUCUAUUAGCAGGGAAGAAAAUGACAGUACCUGACCAAGUAGCCCCGGCUAAUUACGUGCAGGCUGCCGUGGAAACACGAGGGGGGCAAGGGUUAUCCGGAUUUACUGGGUGUAAAGGGGGCGUAGUGGGUUAUGUAAGUCGGGAGUGAAAGCCCGGGGCCAACCCCGGGACUGCUUUGGAUACUGUGUAACUGGAGUACAGGUGAGGCAGGCGGAAUUCCUGGUGUAGCGGUGAAAUGCGUAGAUAUCAGGAAGAACACCGACGGCGAAGGCAGCCUGCUAAACUGCAACUGACGUUGAGGCUCGAAAGCGUGGGGAGCAAACAGGAUUAGAUACCCGUGUAGUC